AGAUAACGAUGAACUGCAGAGUGUGAAACACUACUGUCCCCUCCCGUGCUCUUCCUCCUUGACUUCUAUCUCUUCCAGCUUGUAUCCCUAAUACACUGAAAUCAGAUCUCUAAUUCGCCUGGUGUGACACCAUUUGAGUUAAGGUCGUGAUAACUCGUCACCAGUUCAAGCCACUACAUGCAAUAUAAUUCCUGAACAUUUUGACAAGUUUGCAUGAGGCUAAAUGGUCCUGGUGAUACCAUUCAUCAAACCUGUUUUCUUCAGUCUUUGUUUCACUUACUGUUAUGUUCUUGGCUCUAUUCUUCUACUGUU